rnacentral:misc_RNA from 1 species
CAGAGUUCAUGCCCUUCGGGGUAGAUCUCCCACCCUAUGUAUUUAUACCUUUGUUGCUUUGGCAGACCGCCAGGCUUCGGCCAGGCUACCGGCUUCGGCUGGUAAGCGUCUGCCAGAGGACCAAACUCUGAAUGUUAGUGUCGUCUGAGUACUAUAUAAUAGUUA